GGGGCUGGGGCUCAGUGGUAGAGCACUUGUCUGGCAUGCGUGAGGCACUGGGUUUGAUUCUCAGCACCGCUU
rfam:Ictidomys tridecemlineatus contig004105, whole genome shotgun sequence.